UACAGAGGGGGCGAGCGUUAAUCGGAAUUACUGGGCGUAAAGCGCGCGUAGGCGGCUUUGCAAGUCGGGCGUGAAAUCCCCAGGCUUAACCUGGGAACUGCAUUCGAGACUGCAUUGCUAGAGUAUGGGAGAGGGAAGUGGAAUUUCCGGUGUAGCGGUGAAAUGCGUAGAUAUCGGAAGGAACAUCAGUGGCGAAAGCGACUUCCUGGACCAAUACUGACGCUCAUGUGCGAAAGCGUGGGGAGCAAACAGG
rnacentral:rRNA from 1 species